rnacentral:tRNA from 1 species
GGUGUUGUGGUCUAGUGGAUAAGUCACCAGACUGUAGAUUAGAAGGUAAAGGGUUCAAGUCCCUGCCAUGCCA